UCUCGGAAGAUUUUAAACUUAUCAUUGGACCAUGCAAGUUUUGUAGCUGGAUAAGUGUUUAUGGCUUAAAAUACUACGGUUGUCCAAAGAUUGCAAAAUGGAUACAACUAAUCUAGUAGUACUACUACUGGUAUGGUCAGUUUUGGCAGUGGCGGGUCAAAAUAUUUUCAGUGAAGAUAGUGUGAUGGAAAGAUGUCCUCUUACAAAUACUGAGAAUCUAGAGUAUUUCAUAAACUUUACUGCCAAAAAAAUGAUCCUUUCUCAUUUAAAUCUGAUGGAGGCCCAGAUGAAUAAAUACAGAAUAGAGUUGAGCGAUCUAAAAACCCAAAUCACCGAGAAAAUUAAGAAUUUGCCUGAAGAUGAUCCAACAGAAGCUGCAAAAAUAGGUACGCCUUCACAGCCCUAGAAGAAAGAACGAAAAUAUUAUCGAACAGAUUACAUUUAUUAUUCAAAUACCCUUGCCUAUAUUAUAAAAA